rnacentral:rRNA from 1 species
UACGGAGGGUGCAAGCGUUAAUCGGAAUUACUGGGCGUAAAGCGCACGCAGGUGGCUGAGUCAGUCGAUUGUGAAAGCCCUGGGCUUAACCUGGGAAUUGCAGUCGAUACCACUCAGCUAGAGUAUGGGAGAGGGCAGUGGAAUUCCCGGUGUAGCGGUGAAAUGCGUAGAUAUCGGGAGGAACAUCAGUGGCGAAGGCGGCUGCCUGGCCCAAUACUGACACUCAGGUGCGACAGCGUGGGGAGCAAACAGG